AUGUGCCCAGUGUUGCCCAAACUCAUCGUCUCAGAAUUGACCAUGUUCGAAUGCAUUGGGAUCCAUCAAAUGGAUAUUAUAGCCACCGUCAACUACAUGAAGAAAGAGAAUAAAUGGCAACAAAUUUGUUUCACCCGUUGCAACGCACGGGCAUGUUUACUAGUCAUAAUUAACGAGUACUCCCUCCGUCCCAAAAUUCUUGUGUUAGAUUUGACUAAAUAUGGAUGUAUCAAGUCACGUUUUAGUAUUAGAUACAUCCGUAUUGUGAGAAUAAACUUUCUCUCGUUCUUUUGGCAGUGCCAUGAGGUUAGAGAGUUUUCUGUUCUCACGGAUUUGAUUAUUCGGAUCUGA
rnacentral:rRNA from 1 species